rnacentral:rRNA from 1 species
AGGGUGUAAAACGCUGCAGACUUGGUGUUGGAGGCCCUUUGGGGGGCAUUCAGUGCCGGAGAGAAGUUGUUAAGUCUGCUACUUGGGGAGUACGUCCGCAAGGAUGAAACUUAAAGGAAUUGGCGGGGGAGCACCGCAACGGGAGGAGCGUGCGGUUUAAUUGGAUUCAACACCGUAAAACUCACCAGGGAAGACUGUUACAUGAAGGCCGAGAUGAAGACUCUGCUAGAUUUUUCAGAGAGGAGGUGCAUGGCGUCAGUGACU